AGCCUCCCUCCUCCCGUAGCAGCCGGGGCAGCGCUCUGUAACUGGCUGCGCGUCCAGUCACUUUGUCUGCUGCCGUCGCUGCGCUACAUGCCGGAGUAACCAGCUGCGGGGAGAAAAGUUUUCUUAAUGGCUUGGCAGAGGCUGCAAUGCACUAGCCCUUUACUGAAACAGUGUCAAGAAACGUAACUUAAAGCAUCAGUUCAGCCUUGAAGACAUCAGAAGGGGCUGGCCUGAGCUUCCUGUCCACUACCUGUUUGGAAUAUCUAUUGUUCUAAUAAAAGAACUGGGCAGACAGCAUCGCCAUCAUCGUCUGGAACAAAAACAACUACCACUGUGUGUCUCUGCAACGUGUUAUCUAGUUUUGGGGGAGGGAACUUUCUCAUUCAUGAUGAGUCACUAGUCUGUAUGCUAAACAGGUUCAGCCUUGAAGACAUCAAAAGGGGAUGGCUUGAGCUUCCUGUCCACUACC